GUGAGUAGUUCAGAGUUUGAUCCUGGCUCAGGAUGAACGCUAGCUACAGGCUUAACACAUGCAAGUCGAGGGGCAGCACGGGGAUAGCUUGCUAUUCUGGGUGGCGACCGGCGCACGGGUGAGUAACGCGUAUCCAACCUGCCCAUUACUCAGGGAUAGCCUUGCGAAAGUAAGAUUAAUACCUGAUGUUGUUAGUUUGCUGCAUGGUGAAUUAACUAAAGAUUUAUUGGUAAUGGAUGGGGAUGCGUAACAUUAGGUAGUUGGUGAGGUAACGGCUCACCAAGCCUACGAUGUUUAGGGGUUCUGAGAGGAAGGUCCCCCACACUGGAACUGAGACACGGUCCAG
rnacentral:rRNA from 1 species